UACGGAGGGGGCAAGCGUUGUUCGGAAUUACUGGGCGUAAAGGGCGCGUGAGGCGGCUUGGUCAGUCCCGUGUGAAAUCCCUCGGCUCAACUGAGGAACUGCACGGGAAACUGCCUGGCUUGAGUUCGGGAGAGGGAAGCGGAAUUCCGGGUGUAGCGGUGAAAUGCGUAGAUAUCCGGAGGAACACCGGUGGCGAAGGCGGCUUCCUGGACCGACACUGACGCUGAGGCGCGAAAGCUAGGGGAGCAAACAGG
rnacentral:rRNA from 1 species